rnacentral:rRNA from 1 species
UACAGAGGGUGCGAGCGUUAAUCGGAAUUACUGGGCGUAAAGCGUGCGUAGACGGUUAUCUAAGUCGGAUGUGAAAGCCCCGGGCUCAACCUGGGAAUUGCAUUCGAGACUGAAUAGCUAGGGUGCGGUAGAGGGAAGCGGAAUUUCCGGUGUAGCGGUGAAAUGCGUAGAUAUCGGAAGGAACACCAGUGGCGAAGGCGGACUCACUGGCUCGGUACUGACGCUGAGGUGCGAAAGCGUGGGGAGCAAACAGGG